CAUCCGGUUGAUCCUGCCGGAGUACUACGCUACCCCCAAGGACAAAAGCCAUGCAAGCGGACACGAGGUAUGAAGUGGCGGACGGCUCGGUACAACGGUACGAGUCUGACCGGGGGUGAAGGCUAGACGGAUACCGCUGGCAACCCAGCGCCAAGACGAGUGCUCAAGAGCGGGGAAGGAAAAGCACGCGAUGGAGCGA
rnacentral:rRNA from 1 species